CAUUAAUGACCAUCCUUUGCAAGUGUUGGUUGAUUCAGGUAGCACACAAUUUUGUUAGUCUCAAAGCAAUGAAACAACCGGGGUAAAAGCUCAACCUCAGACUCAAAUGAGUGUGUCGAUUGCCAAUGGAGAAAAAUUCAUAGUAAUGGCAUCUACAAGGCGUUAAAAUUUAAUGUUGCUCAUACUUGCUUUACUGCUUAUUUCUUUAUUAUUCCUUUGGAUGGAUUUAAUGUUGUGUUUGGGGUUCAAUGGCUUACAAUGUUGGGACUUAUUUUGUGGUACUUUACCUCUCUCACCAUGAGCUUCAUAGAUAGAAUUAAAAUCUCCAAACUAGAUGGUAGAUAGUUAUAAAAUUCCCUUGGCUUUCUUGACACUGCUGUACAAAGGAGAUCAUGAUUGCUCUUUCAAGAAGUAGCCAUAGGUUACAAUUUAA
rnacentral:misc_RNA from 1 species